UUGGAGUUUAAGAAAUCUCAUACAAGAAACCGACCAACCUGAACAAUUUCUGAAAGAUAUACUUAAAGAUCUGUGUGUCUCCAAUAACAAAGGAACUAAUCAAGGCACUUAUGAACUGAAGCCAGAAUACAAAAAAGCCGGGGAUUAAGCAACCUUAUGUUAUGCUUAUCAAUUUGUUAACUCUCUUCAACCAAAUAUAGGUUACUCAUUUCCGUUUAUCCAUUCAUUUUGGAGUUACAAAAUGGAGCCAGUGUGCUUCUUGUUUGUGCAAUUUUUUUAAACAUGAAUUGCCUUUCAGUAAACUAUCAUAAGGUUUGAGAUUUGAGUAUAUCCUAAUAAAUGUUUUCUUCCUCUUUUUUA